rnacentral:rRNA from 1 species
UACGGAGGGUGCUAGCGUUGUUCGGAAUUACUGGGCGUAAAGGGCGCGUAGGCGGCCGUUUGCGUCGGAUGUGAAAGCCCGGGGCUCAACCUCGGAACGGCAUUCGAUACGGGACGGCUGGAGACCGGGAGAGGAGAGUGGAAUAGCCAGUGUAGAGGUGAAAUUCGUAGAUAUCGGGAGGAACACCAGUGGCGAAGGCGGCGACCUGGGCCAAUACUGACGCUGAGGUUCGAAAGCGUGGGGAGCAAACAGG